GGGAUUGGUUGCCAUGGCAGUGACGUCAAAGAGUGCCGGGGACAGGGAGCGGAGACACGGAAAAGUGCUGGAGUGGGGUUCUGUGCUUUACAUGCCCCAGGGCAUGGCUCAAUCUAGCAAACCCUGGAGUGAAGCUGCUUUCAGCGUGUGGAGACUGAGUGCCACCGACAGCCUGUUGUCUGUUCGUGCUCAGAGAGUUAUGUGGAAGGAUAGGAGUGACUCAGUAAUAGGAAGUAUUAGUUGCACUGAGGCAAAACCAGAAAGAUACACCACAAAGAAGCACCAACUGCCUGGUAUCUUUAAGCUUUGCUUCUGAGAGUAUUUUGUUCUGUAGUUUAUCACUUGCCUGCUCAAGUUUGUUUGGAACUUCCAUACUGCUAAAUAGGACAACUGUUCUGUGUGAGGAGGAGGUGAGCACAACAGAAGACUUUUGUCUUCGGUUUUAACAACAAAACUGAAAGUUGCUCUGGCAAAAUGGCAAUUCAUUGUUAAUUCAUGAGAUGUAGGUGCUCUGGAAAAAUCAAAUACCAGUUUCAUAGCUACCCUUAGGCAUCUCUAAUUUAUGCAAGCAGGGCUUGCCAAGUAACUACUGAGUCUCACUGACCUUAGUAGGUUUGCAGAGGUCAUAUUUUAACACAGAUAAGUUAUGCUUGAACUAUUUUCUCAGUAGGUAUUAGGAGCAAGUGGCAAAAAAACAUGCUUUUUGCCAAUCCUCCGUUACAUUUUCUGUUUUUCUUUAGAUUCUUGCUUGUAAGUUCUACAGUAAAUCCUAGAGUCUUUUUUUGUGUUUUUUCUUAAUCUGUUAUCUUAAGUAAGAAACGUGAGUUUUUGAGGACAGCUUCUUUUUUGGGGUCUCAGUAAAACAGAACAAACAAAGGUUUCAUAGACCGCCAGAAAGGCAGUUGUAGGAUCAGGGAAAGUCGGGGUAUGGGAAGCCAGAACAGCCCAAACGUGUGAGUGACAUCAGCAUUUUUCUGAGCCGUUUAUGCUGCUCACUUCUGUCGGUUCCCAGCAGUGCCUGUGUCUUAUGUAAGCUCGCACUGUACAUCCUGUCCUGCUGUUCUCAUGCAUGAAAAUCAUUGGUGUUAUCUUACUGUACGUUUUGAGAGCUGAGCAGUUACUGGCUACUUGUUGUCUCAAAUGUCUGCAUGCAAAUCUCUCACAAGCAUGCUGGAGAGAGCUAUGCCAAGAGCAUGGUGCUGUCCUCCUAGGAGACAUCAGAGGGGUAAGUUGUAGUAAACGCCGCUCGCUCGUCCUUUGCUCUUUCUGGUAAUAGGCACUAUGAAGUAAUGCAGCUACAGAGGUAAUUGUGCUGCUACAGUCUGAAGUGCUGAUCUGUGUCACGUGCAGAUGGACCACUAAUGCAGUUUCGAUGGCUGGUGAUAAAACAGACAUGGAAAACAAAGGACAGUGGUUUCAACAGAAGCUUUAAUGAUGUUAGGACUGGAAAAGAGAGGCUUUUAUAUACUCUUACUGUGCACUGCUUGUUACGGGUCUUGGAAAGAAACUGUGCCUUCAGAUGGACUGAUGCUUUACCCUUGUUCCUGUAGUUAGCAUUUAGUGAUGCAUAAUGAAGGUACUGUCACUCAAUGGGUGAAAUUGGAGCAAACCUUCCAUUACAAGGCUUCAGAAACAAACAUUCCCUCUAUUUUUUUUUUCUUGCUAAAUCUAUCUGAAAUCGUCAGGCAUAAAAUCCUGCAAGUAAUGUGAUAUCUGUUAAUGCAAAGUAAGUAACUUGGCCACCUUGUUUAAACGCUACCCAGUGCUUCAGUUACGAAGCAAAACUACCUCUGCUUCUUAAAUACUCUUGUCUCUUCUGUUUGUGCUCCUGCAGUAUGAAGGAGACAAGUUUCUGCUCCUCUGCUCUGGUGAAUGCGCUUGUGUGGCACUGUGGCUUGUUUUGGGGGAGCUGUGUUUGAAGGGCUGUAGAGUUUGUUACAAGCUCUGAUAGGAAAGGCUGACUGGCAGGAGAAGUGCACCUGGGUAGGAGUGCGUUUGUGGAAAGGCCUUGGAAGGAAUGAAAGAAUCUUUCUUGUGGCUUCCCAGUGUGAUCCGUUCCAUGCCGCACGAAACAAUUCCUCAUUGUGCUGGAGUGUAAGACUUAACAAGGAAACUGGCCAUCUGAAGAGGAACAGGUGCAAUGCCCUGACGCUUAGAAGCUAACCAGAUUCCUGAGUGAGCAGAUCUUGCAGAAUUUAAGGAAACUUAUUGGCAGAACAUCUAAGAAGGACUUGAAUUUUUGUUUUGAGUAGGGAAUUGAAUGAUCUCUGCUGCCUUUCACACAAAUCUAGGAAUGCAGUGGCUCUAUUUAGUGCUUUUGUUAUUUUCUUGAAGAUAUAGAAAUAUGUUUCAAAAGCAUAUGCAGGAAGAUGGAGUUGCAGCAGCCAUAAGAACUUGUAAGAAAGCACCUGCACGUUGUGCAUUUGGGAUUCCGUGGCAUUAUAUUUUAUUGCUUUACGGAUGCUUACGUGACUAUCAGAAUCCACAUCUAUGUUGUCCAUAUUCAAUAGCCUUUUCAUUUUGUUGAUGUGGACAGAAUCUAUUCAGGAUGCUUAAAUCUGCUAAAAUAUUUAUAAGAAAGUUGGCCCUUGGAGCAUGUUUCCCACAGGAUGCAGUGGGUGUCGGGGCUAAAGGUCAGUGCAGACGAAGUAAAGUGAAAGCUCUUUUGCAUUUAUUUUCCUACUUUUUUUUCUUAAUUUUCUUUUGAAAGAGAAUUCUCUGUGUUAAGAAGCACAGAACUUUCCUUUGCUACUUCCUACGUUUCCAUACACUAAGAAGCAGGAAUGGACCUGUAAAUACUUAAGCCUUUUAUUGAAACUUUGCUCCCUUUCUUUAGGAGAGCGGGGAAAAAAAAUGAAACCAACAACCCCAAAUCAGUGCAGUUAAUGUAGUCAUGGGCUCUGAGCAUGGAAGUUCCCGGUGUAAAGGAAAAAAGCCAGAUGGAGUUUUAAGUGACUGUCAUGUACCACUUAAGAAACGCACAUUCCUGAUACUAAUAAAAGGGCCAGAUUGGAGCUACAUAAUUAAUCCCAGUGUCCUUUUCAGCACAUGAUAAGAUUUGGCUACAGCAGUCAUAGAGCUAAUGGAGACAACUGUCAGGUUCUACAAAGCAGUGGAUUGUUUGCCUAAAAUAAAAAUACCUAUGUGAUUAUUCUUGUACAUAUAUUUGUAUCUGCUGGUGAUUAGUACUUAUGUCCCAGUUCAAAUGGAAGAUAAAUGGAGCUGAUUUGCUUUUGAAUCCCCUUACUGCCUUAAGUAUCUGUAUAAAUAUAUACACCAGAUAUGUCUGUAAAUAAAUUAUUCCUAUUCAAUAUAUAUUUAAGAUGGGAAGUAAAUGUUUUUUAUUAUUUUCUUUAGGAGUUAGGUGGCAAAACUUGCUCUCCUUUGGAGUCCAUUUGAAAUAUAGUGACUGAUGAAGGCCAAGGAGCAAUUCUGCAAUUGUUUAUUCACUGUAUGUGUCCAUGACCUGGAAGAAGCGUGCAGGAAUGGGCUAAAGCAGAGAUGCUUCUGAGAUGGCACAAAGUGUGUGUUGGAGGCAGACAGGAGGAGUGGGCAGAUGGCAGUCAGAACAAAACAGGGAGUUCAAUAACUUGGGACAGCACUGAGCUGCUCUAUCUGGAGAACACCCUUCUAACCAUAAAGGGGAGCUGCUCUGUCUAAGAUUGAGUGUAAGACAUAAAUGAUCCUCCAAAGAAGCUUUUCUCAAAAAAAAAAAGAGCUUAUUUUCUGAAGACAACUUUGUCACUUGAACUAGAGAUGCUUCUUACCUUGACUGAAAAGGCAGACUAUGGGCACAAACUGGAAGACUCCUCAAGGUAAAACAGGAACAUGUCAUGUGGAGAUACCUGUAUCCUAUUUAAAAUGAUUUGUUUUAAUACUUUGUAGUAAAGUGUCUCCAGGACUCUACCCAUAGAUUAGCCAACCUGGUUUUGGUGCAGCUUUUUCCAGGGAAUAAGACUAAAAUUCCUUUCCUGUAGGAGAAACCAAAUUAGAGUUGAAUAGAGGAAGCUAUAAAAUCAGACCUAUUUACUGCAGGCAGCAAUAUUUGAGUUAAAUGUUAAACUCACUGAAUUAGUGUAAUCAACAUUUGACACCUCAGAAGAGGUAAUACUACUGUGGGAAUGAGGAAGGGCAUCAGCUAUUUGUGUGAUAUCAGACCUAAUAUGUAGCAUGUAUUCAUAUUUCUCCUUAAUUUGGAGAUCCAGGUAUUCAUCUUUCUCUUGUGGUCAGUGCAUGUUGCUGUAUCUCCUCUGCUGAAAAAGCAAAAAUUGCAGGGAAAAAAAAAUUCCAAAAAUAUAUGGCUAUACAUUAUACAGCAACAAUCUGUUAGAAGCCUAUUCUCAGAGAAGGCAAAAAUAUAGCUAAGGAUGCUAAUACUCUUCCUUCCUUUUUCUGUUCUGAUUGCAGGUAAGUCUACUGGUGGGGGUUUUUAUGAGGUGAGGGUAAUACAUUAUGACAAAUUGUUAGUGACAGAUGGAUUUUUUUUACUUAGCUUACUUCUAAAGCAAAAUGAUCUGGAUUAGCCACUUCCUGCCCCCCGAGGUGGCUGCACAACUUCUCAGGUUACCUAAAUUAAAGACUUAAUUUGACUCAGUAAGUUACUCUAUCAGGUUGAGAGCCAAGAAGGUGUUUUAUAAAUACAUGAUUUCUGCAUGCUGAGCAGUGUUGUUCAGUCAGAGGGAAGAGGAGAAUGGGGGGGGGGAGUCUUUAAUUGCUGCCUUCAGUUACCUAAUGGAUCAUGACAAGAAACCAGCUCUUUCUUGGUGUUGUGCAGCAAAAGGGUGAGAAGCACUGGGCACAAGAUGCAGCAAAGGAAAUUCCAGAUAGGUGUAAGGCAGAAGAAAAAAGUUAGACCUGUAGCUACACAGACGUGACUAGAUUGCUUGUAGAAGCUAUGAAAUAUCUUUGCUUGGGGAUGCUCAGAUUUUGAGCAGGGAGUUUGCUGUAGGUGAUUUCCAGAGAGCCUUCCAGAGGUCAUUUCCACUGUAAGAUGUUUUUGGUUUCCAUUUGGUGAUUAGUUCACGACUUUUCUUCACCGAGAAGGCUUAUCGUUCUGAGCUGUCUUUCUGAUCUUCGAUGGUAAUCACUUUUCAUGUCUCAUUUGUUAAAAUUAUGCUCACUAGAGUCAGAAAUGGUGUCUGUGGAGACAGUGCUUUUGUAAAGCAUGUAUUAACUGAAAGGUUCUGACUGCAUGUCUGUUUUACUGUAUUUGUCCAAGUAAAGACUUCCAAAAGUGAAACCAGCUUUGAAGGUUCUCUUACAGUGCUGUUUUUGGUGCUGUUUUUUCAACUUCAGUUAAUUUUAUGUAUUUACAGUUCACAGGACUAAUACUCAGCAGAAUAUUUUGGAGCAGAGUGAGCUAAGAAGUUGAAGACAGGUUGUAUUCUCUUUAAGAGAAAAAUUCUAGGGUGUGAACUUUGAUGCAGAUGUGCAACUUAAUGGUGUAUUCAAUUUCUGCCUACUGUUCCUUUGUUUUAAACUGCUUAUUUAAAAGCAUAAGAACACCCCUUCCUCUUUCUGUGUUUGACCCCCAGCAUUCUGCAUGCUCAGUAUACUCCAGCUAAUACUGAGAUUAUUUGGAUUGCAGGUGAAUGUCUGCUUUUUCAUGGGCUUUGGAGAAGGACAGUGAGCAGCCUUUGUAGUUGCUACUCCUGUAUAUUUUUGGGAAAUAAUGCAAGAAAUGAAUAGGGGCCAGUUUUGUCUUGCAUGCUGUGUCUGUUCUUGAGUUUGUUAGAUUGUAGUCAUUCUCUCUGAUGCAGUUCUAGAUUGAUGGUCAAUUAUUUUUACCUCGUAAACCUCCAUUCUUUGAAACGAGUGAAUCAUGGGCCAGAGUGUGUAGGACAGCUUUUUUCUUAUGCUUAGUCACAGGAGACUAAGCUUACAGUUUUAUUCUAACUUAGCUCCCCAAGAUAUGCAGAGCAACUGGGUGGAUGCUGUUCUUAAUUAUGAUCUGAACUUUAUUUUGGCUCGCACCAUCACUGUUUCAUUGUUUAUCUUCCUUUGGUAAGAUGAGAACAGUAUCUUAUGACAAAAACAUUUAGUUGUUUGGUUUUCUGUAAUGGUUAUGUAUGACAUUUGCAUCCUCACUGAAAUUUGGGCUUAGAUAUGUUAAUAGUGUACUGUUUUACACAUUCCCAUGCAUUCUUAAAAUAUGAGAUGCUUUUUUUGACAGCUCAAUUUAAAACUUUUUACUUCCUACACAGUGAAACUGUCAGUUUUAGUGUUUGCACAUAUGUAUAUAUUUAGUGUAUCCUUCUAGUAUUUGAAGAGAGCUUCUAAGCAGGAAGGGGAGUGACUUUUUACAUGGUCUGAUAGUGAUAGCUCAAGGGAGAAUGGCUUUAAACUAAAGGAGCGGAGAUUUAGGUUAGAUGUUGUGGAAAAAAAAUCCUUUCUCAGAGGAUGGUGAGGCACAGGAGCAGGAUGCCCACAGACAUUGUGGCUGCCCCAUCCUGGUGGUGUUCAAGGCUGAGUUGGAUGGGGCCCUGGGCAGCUUGAUCCAGUGAGUGGCAACCGUACGCGUGGCACAGAGUUGGAGCUUGGUUAUCUUUAAGGUUCCUUCCAAUGUAAGCCAUUCUGUGAUUAGUGAUUGUAAGAAGCAGAGCGUGUGGUUUCCUGAAAAUAUACAGGAAAUGCAGUUCUAAAACUACUUACAUAUGCUUCCUACUUCAUAAUUCAUUGUGCACUGUAAACUUCUAAUGCUAUAGCGAACUCUGUGGCUGUUAAAUGAUCAGACUGCCCUAUGUUAGGGCAGAUUGUAAUCUAUCUGAAUCACUGCGUGACAUUUAUGCUGUUGAAAUUGAAUUGGACUAUGUGAGAGCUGAAAGCUAUGGCACUUUAAAUUCAGCACUGAUUCAGACACUGUGUUUUACUCGGGGCAAAUAACUUAAUGUCUAAUACUCAGUUAUGUUCUGGUCAGUAGACGUGACUUAAAAUAAUUGGAGCAAUAGCAGGGAUCUGCUUUAACUUUCUUUUUCAGUUAGCUAUUUGUGCAUGAGAACUGAGACUUCUAAUUCACUGAGUAAUUGUAAUCAUGCUGAUCAUGGAAUGAGGAUAUCUUAAGAUAUGGGAAGAAAAUAAGCUCUGUGGGAAAUACAUAAGCUCUCUUUAGCUUCCUUGUUCCCCUGCAUCUUCCUUUCCCUUAUUGCUUUCCUUCUUCCCAUCUUGUUUAACUUUCUGAUCACAGUGCAGUCCAAGCUCAGUGUGACUGAUAAAAUAAUAUGUGGCACUUGGGAAAACUGCAGUACCUCUCUGUGACCUGUGUGGCUUGGGUUUGGAAACUGAAAGAGCACAAACUUCAGGUAUCACAGCAGUGCCCUUUUUGUUGGUGUUAAACCUCUUGGUGAAUCCCUUGUACUGACAGCUUAAGAGCCAGAUUGGUAAAUGUUGUGUGUCAGGAACAGUUUAUGUAGUUUAAAGAUUCACAUGGUUCUUCACAUUUUCUGUAUGAGGAAUUUGAAGGGGAAUUCACACUGCAAGAAAUGCUACAUUCAUUGUUGUUCUUCAGCAAAUACAGUUAACAGCAUUAAUGGAAGCCAGCAAUCAAUGUCCUUCUGUUUGCAGUGACGUUAGAAUAAGUCCUGGUUCUGUGCUUUUAAGCUUUAGCAGGGUUAGAGGACAGAACCUUUGACAAAAGCCGGAGUGUGGUGUCUUUUUGUAUUUGUUUGUAAGUGUUCAGGAGAAUAGCAGAAGAUGCUUAAUCUUCAGUUUUCAUAGAAGAACUUUUAUGGAAGUUCUAUCCUUCAAAAGCGUAGUUGCACGGAACUACACUGCAGAUAUAUUUUCUUAAUGUUUUUGGAUGGAGCUGAAAAUGUAACUCCUUUGUACAAACAUGAUCACACUGUUAGAUGUUGUGCUGGGGUUGGUAGCUGACAGUUUGAUAAAACAGCAAGAGACUUCACUGUCAUUUGUAUUGUUUUUUUUGUGAUGAUCUGAGUGUUAAAAUGAAGCUGGAGGGAGUGUCCUCUCUUUAGGCAGGUGACAUUGUGGUAACCUUCAUUACUUCCUUAAGAAGCAAGUGUUGAAGGAGAGCAGCACAAGAAAUGGUUCACUGCAGCAUAAUGCUUAGCAGCCUAAUUAGUCGAAUACCAUGUGCCUACCUCUGCAUGAAAUAACCCAUUUCUUCACAAGGUAAAAUAGGAAUUUUCAGUUUUGGAACAGCCUGAAGAGGCCUUUGUUGCAAAUGUCCGUUGGCUUUUUAACUAUUUAUUCUCAAAUAAUGAAGGUCAGCAUGGUAUCCAUAGAGACUGCAUGCAGCUUCCUCGUUAAUCUUGGCAAACUCCUGUAAUAACUACAUUCACUUAAUACUAACAAGUGUUCACAUUUCAUUAAUGGGAGAACAGUAUGGGAUUGACAUUCUGUAACUGAGAAAUCUUGAAUGUGUAGUUUUUCUUCUUUAAACUCUGUUAGAAUUUCCCUUUACGAGUUGCCUUGGAGGCCUGAACAGCCUCAGAACAAGCAACUUUUAAAUUGCAGGAGUCUGCGUAUUUCCUGGAAGCAGAAAACUUCUUACUGGCUAAGCCUUUUCUUUCUGAAAGGAUCAAGAAUGAUAAACAAGGAUAAAUGGGUCUGCUUUCAGCUCUGUUAGUAAAAGGAAAGUUUUCUGCUAUGAACUAGAAUAUAAAGGCAUUGAAGUAUUAUGUAAAUAUGAUCAAGCUAGAAUGAUAAGAUUUAAAAAAAUAACCUCAUGCAGACUCUCCACCUCUGCUUUUUUUCUUCCUUUUUCUUUAACCAAGAAUGGGAGAAUUUUUGUAUCACCAGAACACUGCUGAAGUCCUUUGUAUUUGACUGUCAGAUUACUUCUGUGCAGAAAAUUCUAAUCAGAGUGUUAAUAUGAAAUAACUGAGUGCUGUAUGCUUAAUAAUGACUUUGAUUUAAAUUAAAUUUUGUUCUUGAAUAGUAUUUUGUCAUUUAAAUACUUUUAAUAUUGAAAGGGUUCUUUUAACUGAGAAGAAAGAAAUAGACUGCAUCAGAACAGAAUGCAGUCUUGUGGGACUUCUGGUACUGAGUUGCUGAAGGGGGGGAAGUAAAAUGGUUCCAUCCAGAGGCUGUUAUUGUUUUAUUCCCACCCUGACACUUUUAAUGCUUACCCCAGGAUAUAUAUAUAUAGAGAGAGAGAGUAACAGAGCCUUAAACUGAUGCUGAGAAAUAUACAUAUUUUUUCAGAAUUCUGCCAGGUUUAUUUCUAAGAUUUCCUUCAUUAUGAGCUUGUUUUCCUAAAUUAUACAUUCUUAUUUAGAAACAUAAGUAACUGUGAAAGAGUAGAUAGUGUGGAUGCUUAGAAUGGAACUCCAUUUAUUUUUUUUGAGAGUUCUGGUAAUGAAGGUAUAGGAAAGUAAAAUGUAUGUAUGAAUGUAUUUGAACCUGAAGAGGUUUAAAAAUGUGCAUUUUAAAACUUGAGUACGUAUAUUCCCAUGUCUUGCAUUUAGAAACAUUAAAUUAUGUUAAAUCUACAAUUGUGGUGUUUUUGUAUCAAUGCUUGUUUUAAGUGAAACUGAAAAUGAGAUUUUCUUCAGAAUUAGUGGAAUGGUAAUUGAUUGGAAUGUCACAGAAAUGUCAUAAAUCUUUUUCUUUUCCCCCUCCCCUAAAGGUGACCGAC
ensembl:lncRNA